CCAAAUUGCCCUAAAUUAAUCUAAUUGUGUUAAAACUCAAUUACAUUACUUUUUACCUAUAAAAGUAACAACACAUUGUCCCACAUCGGAUUUUUACAAAAAGUCCUACCUAUUCAUCCACCUAUAAAUAUAUGUGUCAUUUCACAUAGGAAGGUACACUCUAAUUUGGCAAUUAAUAAUUACUAUUUGCUUAUAUUAAUACAUCUUCUGACUUGAGCGUCGGAGGAUAAUCGCCGGGCCAAACCCGGCGUGUCAUCUAGUGUUUCAAUUGUUUUGUAGGUUAACGAACGGAGCAAUCCCUUCGACUACCUCGGACACGUGGCAGUGACUCACGGCAUUCUCUAUCUUUGUGGGCUCAAGGACACUUGGGUUGCCCAAUUGGCAUUUGAGCAGCAUCAUUUUGGCGCCGUCUGUGGGAAUGCAGACUCGAUCACGUGACACGGGAGGAGGUGGUCAAGGUAGCCUUAAUCCGCCCCAACAAGGAGCCGGCGGUGGGAUCCCGGAUCCGCCUCGAAGAAAGAGGACGGCGGGAACAACCAACACGGCGGGACCUUCAGUGCCGAUCAUCC
rnacentral:lncRNA from 1 species